rnacentral:rRNA from 1 species
AUUGAACGCUGGCGGCAGGCUUAACACAUGCAAGUCGAGCGGAGAUGAGGUGCUUGCACCUUAUCUUAGCGGCGGACGGGUGAGUAAUGCUUAGGAAUCUGCCUAUUAGUGGGGGACAACAUUCCGAAAGGAAUGCUAAUACCGCAUACGUCCUACGGGAGAAAGCAGGGGAUCAUCGGACCUUGCGAUAAUAGAUGAGACUAAGUCGGAUUAGCUAGUUGGGGGGGUAAAGGCCUACCAAGGCGACGAUCUGUACCGGGUCUGAGAGGAUUAUCCGCCACACUGGGACUGAGACGCGGCCCAGACUCCUACGGGAGGCAGCAGUGGGGAAUAUUGGAAAAUGGGGGAAACCCUGAUCCAGCCAUGCCGCGUGUGUGAAGAAGGCCUUAUGGCUGUAAAGCACUUUAAGCGAGGAGGAGGCUACUGAGACUAAUACUCUUGGAUAGUGGACGUUACUCGCAGAAUAAGCACCGGCUAACUCUGUGCCAGCAGCCGCCGUAA